GAUGAACGCUGGCGGCGUGCCUAACACAUGCAAGUCGAACGAAGACCGCGCGAUGGAACUCUUCGGAGGGAAGACGCGCGGGACUGAGUGGCGGACGGGUGAGUAACGCGUGGGUAACCUGCCCUGUACAGGGGGACAACAGUUGGAAACGACUGCUAAUACCGCAUAAGCCCACGGCGCCGCAUGGCGCCGCGGGAAAAACUCCGGUGGUACAGGAUGGGCCCGCGUCUGAUUAGUUAGUUGGCGGGGUAACGGCCCACCAAGACGACGAUCAGUAGCCGGCUUGAGAGAGUGAACGGCCACAUUGGGACUGAGACACGGCCCAA
rnacentral:rRNA from 1 species